rnacentral:tRNA from 1 species
GGGCCCGUAGCCUAGCCAGGAUAGGGCGCCGGCCUCCUAAGCACAGUGUUUUAGCAGGGCCAGCCGGAGACCCGGGGUUCGAAUCCCCGCGGGCCCG